rnacentral:rRNA from 1 species
UUUGAUCCUGGCUCAGAUUGAACGCUAGCGGCAUGCCUUACACAUGCAAGUUGAACGGCACCACGGGGGCAACCCUGGUGGCGAGUGGCGAACGGGUGAGUAAUGCAUCGGAACGUGCCCAUUGAUGGGGGAUAACUGCGCGAAAGCGUUGCUAAUACCGCAUACGACCUACGGGUGAAAGCAGGGGACCGCAAGGCCUUGCGUCGAUGGAGCGGCCGAUGUCGGAUUAGCUUGUUGGUGAGGUAAAGGCUCACCAAGGCGACGAUCCGUAGCUGGUCUGAGAGGACGACCAGCCACACUGGGACUGAGACACGGCCCAGACUCCUACGGGAGGCAGCAGUGGGGAAUCUUGGACAAUGGGCGAAAGCCUGAUCCAGCAAUGCCGCGUGUGGGAAGAAGGCCUUCGGGUUGUAAACCACUUUUGGCAGGAAAGAAAUCGUUUGCGAUAAUACCGCGAAUGGAUGACGGUACCUGCAGAAUAAGCACCGGCUAACUACGUGCCAGCAGCCGCGGUAAUACGUAGGGUGCGAGCGUUAAUCGGAAUUACUGGGCGUAAAGCGUGCGCAGGCGGUUGGAAAAGAUAGAUGUGAAAUCCCUGGGCUCAACCUAG